GGCCGACUAGCUCAGUUGGUUAGAGCGUCGUGCUAAUAUGCCAGUUAACACUAAUCUUAACGCGAAGGUCUUGGGUUCGAUCCCCACGUUGGCCA
rnacentral:tRNA from 1 species